CCGAGCCCCUCCCACUCCGCACCAGUUCCCCCAACUCUCCCUACCAUCUCACGCACGCCGGCCGUCCACCUCGCCGUUUCGGUCCCCGCAUUGUCCGGCACCUCUGUUCCCCGCCCGCUCGCCGGAGACUCGCCGCGGGAGUUUAAUGGGCAAGGAGAAUUACCAGGACUGCAAGGGGACUGAAUACAAAUAUAGCAGUGGUUCGCUGGAUAUAUGCGCCAGCGAUAAAGUUCAUCAGGGCAGCAAAGAAGAAUAUUGCACCGACCAGAUAGGUGAUCACAGCUGAGGAGGUCACAAUAUCCAGAUGUAGUAUCCUGUGGAAAUAGGCUACAAGGCUGAAGUUUGCACUGUUGGGGCAACUUCGCAGCACGACCAAAACUGCAAAUGAACAUAGAAUUCAGCUCCGACAGAUUGUUCGAUUCUGGUUCAAGAUGCAUGCAACUAUAUUAUUUUAGGAUCAGCAAGAGUGAAACAAAUCAUACUUUUCAGGUUAGGCUAAGCCAUUUGAUUCCUACAAACAGAUCUGUGUGGACCAAUGAGAUUCACUCAGUUUUACCAAGCUGAGUUGUAGAUGCCCAAUUAAUAGAUAUAUCAUGCUUGAACAAACACAGCUAGUCUGAAUUCA